rnacentral:misc_RNA from 1 species
GAUCUUUACUUUAUUGCUGUUGCUUUUAUUGCGUUUGCUGUGACUGUUGAGUCCUGUCCGCCUCAGUGUCGAUCCUGUGCGGGAGGGACAGCAGACUGCAUGGGCGUCGGCCUUCGAGACAUUCCAAGAAACUUUCCAAGUGAAACUGUGACUAUUGACCUCACAGACAAUCAGCUGACUGAUAUUCAGCAGAGUGAUUUCCCAGUACAGUCCAAUGUCCAAAACCUAAGACUGUCCAGAAAUGGACUCAGCGCAAUUGCACCGAGAACAUUUUCCAACAUGGAGCGCCUGAUGAGUUUGGACCUGUCUCUGAAUCCCAUCACCAGAGUCCAUGAUAAGUCAUUUGAGGGUUUGUCCAAGCUAAGAUCCUUGACACUGACAAACACUAAACUCCGAAAGCUAGGAAAGCCCUUCAAUGAAAUCCCUAAUGUGAGCUCCCUUUACUUGGGAUAUAAUCAACUUGAACAAAUCGAAGAAGAUGACUUUGAAAUGAUUACACGGGUCAGAAGUAUUGACCUCAGUGCUAAUCGCAUUCAAUCCAUUCACCCGAGAGCUUUUGAAAACCUUCCAUAUUUGAGAUAUCUCAUAUUAAAAAACAACCCAAUCAUGGAGGCUAAGGGACUUCAAUUCACUUCCAGUAUGUUGCAACUGUUAGAUUUUUCUCAGUGUAACCUGGUCAGCGUACCUGGACCCAUGCCUUCCUCUGUUGCUGACUUCCGUCUGGGCAACAAUGAAAUUACAGAAAUUAAAGUAACAGAUUUUGAAAACAUCACAAACCUUCAGUUACUCACCUUGAUUGAAAACAAAAUUUCAAAAGUUGAGUAUAUGGCUUUUUCCACCAACAUCAACUUACAGGAACUCUGGUUAAACAGUAAUAAUUUAAAGAUGAUUCCCAGAGGACUUCCAAUCAGACUGGAAAAACUGUACAUGGAUCAGAAUGAAGUGCAUGAUAUUGAGUCUGGACUUUUUGGAAAGGAUGCCAAUUUGGAAACGUUGUCAUUAAACAUGAACGCUGUUCGCCAAAUUCUCAGCGAUUCCUUUUCUGGCUUGAAAAACCUCACCAAUAUUCUUUUAAAAUCUAACAGCAUUCAAGAAAUCAGAAGUGGAACAUUUACAGACAUGUUAAGCUUGAAGAAGCUUGACCUUUCAAAUAAUCCUUUGAAAAAAAUUCUCCCAAAUGCUUUCAAUGAUUUACCAAGCCUGCAGGAUUUGGAUAUGUCAUACCAAGAACAAACCAAUGUCUCCAUAGCUGAAGAUUUCCUAAAUGGUAUCAAAACAGUUCAGUCCCUUCAGUUCAUGAAUAGUCCUGGCCUAGCCAAAAGCUUUUUGGAUUUGGUUGAGAAAAAUAGAGGGUUUAGUUUCCCUUCAUUGAAAGUAGUCAACCUUGAAUACAAUGAACUGGAGACUUUACCAUCUAACCUAAAAGACGCUUUGGUUAGCCUAGAAAUGAUGACAUUAGAUGGCAAUCCCUUGGAGUGUGACAGGCGAUUGCUAUGGCUAAGGAACUGGAUGAAAAAGUCUGAAAUCAAGUUCUAUAGCUUUGAAGCACCAAAGUGUUCUGGACCAAAAGAAGUCAAUGAACGUGAUUUGGAAAGUUUGAAGGCUAGCGAAUUUGGUGAAGCUCCUAAAUCAUCUAAAGAGAACAAUAGAAGACCUGCUCCAGAGGCUGAAGCUAGCUCAGGAAAUGAGAUGACAACCCAGAGACGACAAGACAAAAAGCCAAAUACACAGCUAGAAACCAGCACUGAGACCAGAGGGAACAUCCAGCGACAACAAUACAACACAAUGAUGCAGAACAAGGAUGCCACCACGGGGGGAACAACAACCAAGAUUGAAAGAGUUCAAGGCACAAAGACCAGCGGCCAGAUAGAGGAUAACAACAAUAACGCUGCCAGGAAAACAACAGGUAAAAACAAAACUAAAGACAAGAAACGAAACAAAAAGAACAAACAAAAGAAAAAGCGAGAUCCAAAGAAAAAUCGCAAGAGGAGACAAAGGAAAAAGGGGUCAAAGCGAGGAAAAAGGAAGAUUUCCAGAAAGUGCACCAAAUUGCCAACUGGGGAAAGACGUUGCUGUCGUAAACAGAAAGAUGGUUCUGAGCGAUGUAGAAUCAUAAAGCCCCGAGCCAAAAAACCCACAACAAGAGCUCGCAAACCCAGAAAACAGCGUAGAAAAUCUCGCAAAUCUGCAUGAGACACUUGUGACUUUGUUCAAUGUGCAUGACUUCUAGCAUUACUUUUUUUUGUUGUGUUUUAAGUCCAAUGACUUUCUGUGCAUGAUCUGACUCAGUUCAAACUCUUUCACACUGUGUUUUGUGGACUGUAAUGCAUGACAAAACAAAUCUUUUUUUUUCAUACUGAAAAACCUGCCUUGUACUCUUAUGAUUUUAUUUAUAAGCAGUUUAUUAUUUUCUCCACUUUUCUGUCUUAUCCAAGAGAAAAGUUGCAGUUUUCAUUUUUUUUUUUUGGCUUAUUACAGCUUGUUUUUCCAACCCAAAUUCAAACAAAAUUUUCAAACUAAAUAAGUUAAAAUUUCAAUAUAAAUUACACUUAAAAUACUUAUUUGUUUUCAUUUCCAUACCAUAUUAAUGAUAUAACCAAAUCUUUUUUUAAGAAUAAAGCUUUCACAUAUACCCUUGCUAUUUUGUGUUUUCUAAUAAAAAAAGAUAAUUUUAUUAGAUAUUUUCAAAUAUACUCAGAGCUUAUUUUUGUACCAUUAGAAUGCCAAAUAAAAUUUAUAAUU